rnacentral:misc_RNA from 1 species
CAGAGUUGCAAAACUCCCUAAACCAUCGCGAACGUACCCGUUACAAUUCGUUGCCUCGGUGGGCGGCUCCAGGGCGGAGCCGCAGCUCCCCUUCACGGGGGGGCGCCCGCCGCAGGAGACGCAUACAUAACUCUUUUAAUCUCCACGAGUCUCUCUGAGUCUUUAUACAAAUAAGUUA